CUACCACUAAGCUCUGCAGAUUCUCCACUUCUUCUCACCGAUAAACAUUCUUCUAAUCGUAGACUGAGAGAAAGAAAAAGAAAAUUGAACUCUACAAUCUUGAUGGUGAUUGCAGUAUGUCAUAUUGUUCCUAGUGGUAUAAGCAUAGGUCAUCAAGUGUAAUAAAAAACUUCCCAAACAUUAUUUAUAAUCAAGCUCCAGCUACAAUAAAAUCAUUUAUGAUCAAUCAGAUUGCAGUAGUAAUGCAAAAAGAUGUUAAUCAUACAAGAGAAAAAGGCAAUAUAAUAAUAACUCGUCGACAUUGUGCAGAUUCGUGUCGAAACUAUUUGCACCAUCUAACAUUUCCCAAACAGAACACAUCUUCUUUUUCCUUUCCUACUUUCCUACUCUUAUUUUAUACAUCACAUCAACUGAAGUAGAAAUCAAGAGAAUCACAACAAAACUACAAACGAUUUGGCUUAAGAGAAUCACA